rnacentral:tRNA from 1 species
GGCCUAUUAGCUCAGUUGGUUAGAGCAUCGUGCUAAUAACGCGAAGAUCGCAGGUUCGAGACCUGCAUGGGCCA